rnacentral:tRNA from 1 species
GCAGUGGUGAUUCAGCGGUAGAAUUCUCACCUCCAAUGCAGGAGACCUGGGUUCCCAGCCAAUGCA